UCCAGAUGAUGCUAACGCCAAAGCUAUG
rnacentral:sRNA from 1 species